rnacentral:snoRNA from 1 species
UUGCUGUGAUGUUGAAAACUACCUAUUUUAUGAAAAGGGAGUUAACUCUCUUUGAUUAAAGAAACCAAUGGAUCCUUCUGAGCA